rnacentral:rRNA from 1 species
AACGAACGCUGGCGGCAUGCCUAACACAUGCAAGUCGAACGAGACCUUCGGGUCUAGUGGCGCACGGGUGCGAAACGCGUGGGAAUCUACCCUUGGGUUCGGAAUAACAGUUAGAAAUGACUGCUAAUACCGGAUGAUGUCUUCGGACCAAAGAUUUAUCGCCCAGGGAUGAGCCCGCGUAGGAUUAGCUUGUUGGUGAGGUAAAAGCUCACCAAGGCGACGAUCCUUAGCUGGUCUGAGAGGAUGAUCAGCCACACUGGGACUGAGACACGGCCCAGACUCCUACGGGAGGCAGCAGUGGGGAAUAUUGGACAAUGGGCGAAAGCCUGAUCCAGCAAUGCCGCGUGAGUGAUGAAGGCCUUAGGGUUGUAAAGCUCUUUUACCCGGGAUGAUAAUGACAGUACCGGGAGAAUAAGCUCCGGCUAACUCUGUGCCAGCAGCCGCGGUAAAAC